CCUACGGGAGGCAGCAGUGGGGAAUCUUGCGCAAUGGCCGAAAGGCUGACGCAGCGACGCCGCGUGUGGGAUGAAGGUCUUCGGAUUGUAAACCACUGUCGGGGGGGACGCGGUACCCCCAAAGGAAGCACCGGCUAACUCUGUGCCAGCAGCCGCGGUAAUACAGAGGGUGCGAGCGUUGUCCGGAAUCACUGGGCGUAAAGGGCGCGUAGGUGGCCCGAUAAGUCGGGGGUGAAACGCUGCGGCUCAACCGCAGCACUGCCUUCGAGACUGUCAGGCUUGAGCACGGUAGAGGCUGGUGGAAUUCCCGGUGUAGCGGUGGAAUGCGUAGAGAUCGGGAAGAACAUCGGUGGCGAAGGCGGCCAGCUGGCCUUGCUGACACUGAGGCGCGACAGCGUGGGGAGCAAACAGGAUUAGAUACCCUUGUAGUC
rnacentral:rRNA from 1 species